GACGAACGCUGGCGGCGUGCUUAACACAUGCAAGUCGAACGGAAAGGCCCUGCUUUUGUGGGGUGCUCGAGUGGCGAACGGGUGAGUAACACGUGAGUAACCUGCCCUUGACUUUGGGAUAACUUCAGGAAACUGGGGCUAAUACCGGAUAGGAGCUCCUGCUGCAUGGUGGGGGUUGGAAAGUUUCGGCGGUUGGGGAUGGACUCGCGGCUUAUCAGCUUGUUGGUGGGGUAGUGGCUUACCAAGGCUUUGACGGGUAGCCGGCCUGAGAGGGUGACCGGCCACAUUGGGACUGAGGUCAGACCCGGACUCCUACGGGAGGCAGCAGUGGGGAAUAUUGCACAAUGGGCGGAAGCCUGAUGCAGCAACGCCGCGUGCGGGAUGACGGCCUUCGGGUUGUAAACCGCUUUCGCCUGUGACGAAGCGUGAGUGACGGUAAUGGGUAAAGAAGCACCGGCUAACUACGUG
rnacentral:rRNA from 1 species